rnacentral:lncRNA from 1 species
GCUCUGAAAUUGAAACUUCAAUUAAAUCAUUGACUGAAAAAUAGGAGUAUCUAGCCACUCAUAAUGAGUUUAGUACACCAGCAAUUGUUUAGAAUCAACAAAGAAAAAUUAUAGAAAAAUAGAAAGAAAAUAUGUUCGUCUUCUUCUUCUCCGUUUUGGCUAUUUAAAGAGUGAAUCGUGUGUAGGUAGGAUUUUUCUUUCCUUCGUUUCAGCCUCUUUCUAU